AAAACUAUUCGCGUACUACGGGGAGCCACGUAUAACGGCCGCCCGGUCUCCGGCUGUUAGAGAAAUUCUUCCCCAGUCCCAAGCCCCCAGAAACGAUCUCCGACCACGGCCAAAGUGAUAGCACGAUCUUAUAAAAGAAGCUACAAACGGCGAUCAUCUUCUCAGUGCGCGAGAUUGGGACCGACCGACUGGACUGGACAAAGACAAAGCUGCAAUCGACCAGGAACAGCGAACCACGGCAAGAUACGAACAGCAAGUGAAAAACGGAACUCCAAACAGAUUUGGCGAACGAAUAAUUGCUCCUCGACACGAGAUCUUGGGGAAGUGUGCCCCCCGGGGAGGGAACAGUGCGAUUUGCAGCUUUGCUGAGUCAGCAUCGAAUCGCGAUCAAGUUGAUCGAUCGAUCGACCUGUGUGAUACGCGCCUCCAUCCCCACACGGAUUCCGUGCCGCGCUUUUCCCGAGAGAUCAUUCUCUCCCGUUCGCUCGCCUAGCUGUUUCUCUUUUCGAUCUGUAUUUCUCGCGCCGUCGUGAGUCGUUCGAAAAGGCUUAAAGACUGGUACGAUCUGGUCGCGAUCAAUCAUUGACUCGCGAACCUGCCUACUGGACUGGUGUACUUUGCACACAAGCGUACGGAAGGAAACCGUUUGCCCCGAGUUUUGUGACUACGAGCUGGCGUGAGCGCGGACUGGUGCAAGUGUCUCAAGUUCACCGUGACGUGACCAAGAUUAGAGUGAGUGACCUCCGGGAAAAUUAAGUGCAGUGUACCGCCAAACCGCAAAACACGAUGAAGUGCGUGAUGCUUUGCUGUCUGGCUAUUGCCGCCCUGAUGAUUGAGGCUGGUGACGCAGCACCACGCUAUCAGGUGUUGAAGCCCCGGGAAGGGUACGUUCCCGUGUACAUUCGACUCGGUGAUCAACCACUGGCGGACAUCAAUCCGGAGCUGGCAGCCGCCUUUCGCGAGCCGGUAAGCCGGGUCAGUCGUGCCGAACUCGCCCAAGCACUGCAAGCUGAUCAAGGUGUCGCUCACUCGUCCAGCCUGGUCGACUCGCACUCCGCAUCGGACGAGCACGAAAAGGUUCUGUUGGCAGGUUCGGCCAAAAAGCCGGCCGAGGCACCACCACAGCUUCCGACCGUCUGAAGGAAGUGACAGGGCAGCAUCAAGAGCAAGCAUUCCCACUCUAGCCCAUUAUGCAAACUAACACCCAGCACAGUUACCUCUGUGCAGUUGAUGCACACGUUCCAUGUUAUUUAUUUCGUUACGUGCAAAGCAAACGUGUUGUUUUUACUAAUAGCAAAAAAAUGUGUCUGCAUCGCAACAAUCGUGAAUAUACCAAUAAAAAAAAGGUUGAAUGGGCGAGCUAACUGACCAACUGUCCGGCGUGUCGUGUUUCAUUGUGUUGAAGCCAGUGGGAGCAUGGAGCCUUACUUUAGCACAGAUAUUCUGAAUGAUCCUUUUCUUCCCGACCCCAUUCCCAAAUGCAGAUGCCCGACCAGAUAAGUAUAAGGAUUACCCGAAAAAGGGAGGCUACGUGCCGGUUUAUGUACGUUAUCCCAAUCAACCGCUUGGCUCGAUCAGCCCGGAACUGGCGGCCGCCUUCCAGGAAAGCUCCGGGCGUAGCUCCAGGGGAAAGCUGAUACAGGAACUGAACCGCCCGGUACGCUUCUCGUCCGAAUCAAGCAGCGAUGAGGAGCUGCGAAAUGACAUAACUUCCAAGCCGAGGGUUGACUCGAACAGCAGCGAAAGCAAUUCGCACUCGAACGAAUCCAUCUCGAACGAGAAGGAAGCGAAGGAAGCGAUCAAAGAGCUGCUGAAGCAGAUGAGCAAGAUCAGCAAGGCAGCUGCCGCGGCCAAGACGAAGAAGGCUUAAGGCCUUUGCCAUCAAACCUAUCGUAGUAAUGUACUGCCAUUUUUCAAACGUGCUGCGCCCAACGCAGGCCGCUAGCAAACGAAGAAAACUAAAAUUAUCCCAACGAAACAAUUUCAAAUGAUACUCGAGGUGUAAAACAAACACUGCCAUAAGGUUUAGAACGCUUACACACACUUUUUUUUUGCUUCGGUGCAGUAAAGUAAAUUUUCUUUUAUUUAAUUGUGGCUCAAGUAGAAAUGAAUGGUUAAAAAUAAAAAUAAACGUGAUCCAA